GGUGGUAUAGCUCAGCCCGGUAGAGCGGGAGGCUCAUUCCCUCCUUGUCCUAGGUUCAAAUCCUAGUGCCACCUCCA
rnacentral:tRNA from 2 species